rnacentral:tRNA from 1 species
GGGCCGGUAGCUCAGCCCGGAAGAGCACCCGGUUGGCAUCCGGGAGGUCCCGGGUUCAAAUCCCGGCCGGUCCA